rnacentral:lncRNA from 1 species
CUUCGAUCUUAUUGUAUCAACUUAAUGAAAUUAUUAUUAUAAUUGCACGUAAUUAAUCAUACAUGGCACGGCCUAUUGGAAGAUCACAUCUUGACUCUUGUAAAUAUUUUAGUUCUUGUCUUUGAGAAAUAGUACCGUGGAUAAAUAAAGUUUGCUUGAUAAUAUUAGAUAGUUAACGUUGAUGCAAACCAUGCAGCCACGGUGCAGCAAUUUUAAUUAAUCUAUUUUACAAAUACCUUUUUUUCAUUUAUUCAGACCAUGCAGCUAUGCAUUUGAAGAAUAGUGUAUCUACGAAUUUAAUUUUUAUGUUCAUUUGGUCUACACUUAGAGUGACUGUCACAGCAGGUAAAGAACUACAAUUUUCAACUAACGAAAUGAGCAUUCACGGCCCUGUAUUUGCAUUGUACAGAUGUUUCAAAGGGUUCUUUUAUGUAUUUUAAGGUGAUAUUACCAAUUACCAUAUCUCUCCCACAGAAGGCCAGAAAGUUACCCUCCCAAAUGGUUUUUCGGCAGAGUUACCCUGACCAAUCCAACAAAAAUAUAUCGUGGACCUUUGACGACACCACGAUUGCCUACGUAAAACCUGGAGAAACGCCAUGGAUUAUCAAUCAAAGCUUGUUCGUAAUAACGAAGAACAAAGAUUUAAUAAUCAGGAUUAUGACAAUCUCUUUGAAUGGAGAAUAUAAACAACUGGCUGGAAAUAAGACUAUUGUUCAAUACGCCGUUGAAAUUCCAG